CCCUUAAGCUUAGUUGCCAUCAUUAAGUUGGGCACUCUAAGUUGACUGCCGGUGACAAACCGGAGGAAGGUGGGGAUGACGUCAAAUCAUCAUGCCCCUUAUGAUUUGGGCUACACACGUGCUACAAUGGACAAUACAAAGGGCAGCGAAACCGCGAGGUCAAGCAAAUCCCAUAAAGUUGUUCUCAGUUCGGAUUGUAGUCUGCAACUCGACUACAUGAAGCUGGAAUCGCUAGUAAUCGUAGAUCAGCAUGCUACGGUGAAUACGUUCCCGGGUCUUGUACACACCGCCCGUCACACCACGAGAGUU
rnacentral:rRNA from 1 species